rnacentral:rRNA from 1 species
AGUGAACGCUGGCGGCAGGCCUAAUACAUGCAAGUCGAACGGCAGCACAGUGGAGCUUGCUCCAUGGGUGGCGAGUGGCGGACGGGUGAGGAAUACAUGGGAAUCUGCCCAGUCGUGGGGGAUAACGUAGGGAAACUUACGCUAAUACCGCAUGCGCCCUUCGGGGGAAAGCCGGGGACCUUCGGGCCUGGCGCGAUUGGAUGAGCCCAUGUUCGAUUAGCUAGUUGGCGGGGUAAAGGCCCACCAAGGCGACGAUCGAUAGCUGGUCUGAGAGGAUGAUCAGCCACACUGGGACUGAGACACGGCCCAGACUCCUACGGGAGGCAGCAGUAGGGAAUAUUGGACAAUGGGCGCAAGCCUGAUCCAGCCAUGCCGCGUGAGUGAAGAAGGCCCUCGGAUUGUAAAGCUCUUUUGUCCGGGAAGAAAAGCAUCGGGCUAAUACCUCGGUGUUCUGACGGUACCGGAAGAAUAAGCACCGGCUAACUUCGUG